AAAAAGAGUAUAAAGUGGUGUUUUCUAAGAGUUCCUCCUCCCACCUCUUCCUGCUCCUCUCUCUCCUCCGUCUCUUUGAACUGAGGAAAUCUGCAAAACUUCUGCCCCAUAGUUCAAAUCUGCACCAGAACUCAACUACACUGCACCUGUGUCUGAAAAUACAACACCUUUACACCAUCUGCACCCUGACCCACUUUGGACGGACUUUUCAACUUUUCAUUCUCACAGUUUGUUGAUGAAAUUUAUUUUGUUUGCAUUUGUGAAGUUUCGCCAAUGGAUUUCUGGUUUGUAGCAGUUUCCGCACUUCUGAUCUUCACUGUGGAUUCAGUAAAAUCUGAAAAUAACAAUAGCACAACGUCAAAUUCAACCAUCACCACAACUGUUCCAACGACACAGCCUUGUCCCACCCUCAAGCCCAUGAGCGAACUGGGCUUCUUUGUCAUGGAGUGGGGCCCUAACUGCACAGGAUCAGUGGUUUUAAAAGUGGGCACACGCGCAAAUAAAGCAGUUUGUUUCAAAAGUAAAAGUAGAGUCUUUCAUCUGCUCAGUGGAGUGUGUGAGCAGAACGAAGGGAUGCAAAGGAAAGGAGAAAGAGACAAUUGGAAAAAAAGCAAACGGAGUCGAGAUUUCAGGAAACGAAGUGAAUGAAACAAACUGUGACAUUCUGAACAUCACAUGUGAAGUGGAGCGCCCCCUGCCGCCUGUGCAGGAGCCUGUGGGCUUCAGAGUGGCCACAGCUCUGCUCAGUAUGACUCUGGUGCUUCUGCUGCUCAUCUUUUUCGGCAAACCCACGGUCAGGGCCCUGCAGAAGAGAUUGUCAAACAAAAGAAAGAACCGCUGGAUUCGGCCCCACUCAGAGUCACAGUGUGUCUUACCAACGAGGACAAGUGAACAAAAACCUGGAUGGACAAAAACAUUCUUCUUACCCAGCUUUAGAUCGUCUGGUGGUGGGGAACCCUCCAUCCAAUAGGAACAGCUACAACUUCUGACAUCAUCAAAAAGAAAACUGUAGAUACAUGUGGUUUUAUAUGCACCUAUAGACUGUAUAUAUAAAUGGACAUAGCAAACGUGCUAGCCCCCGCAUUCCGAAUAGAAAGUUCACAUGUGGCUCUUCUGGCUCAUUCUGACCAUGGCUCCCAUUGACGUACAUUAGAAUAUUGUGGCCCCUCUCUCCUAACUGCUGCAGUCAUCAUUUUGGUCUUAAAAUGUUUGCAUUUACGCGCACUAUGUGAUUCUGGUGUUAUUUUAUUUAUUUAUUUUUUUUGCUAUUUUGUCUGUUAAAAAUUCCUUUUCAUAAUAUGGAGUCUGGCUCCAAAUUUGUCUCUGUAACCAUAAGCACAGCGAGCUUCAUUUGAGCUGAGCUUAACGCUGUGGAUGACGUUAUACUCGCUUAGUCCACUUUUUUAUACAGUCUAUGUAUGCACCAUGAUUUGUUUACUUCAGAGUAGUUUUCCAGCAUCAUACCUUUACUCCUAUGCCAAACUACUUGCGGUUAUUGAAUUUGCAGUUCUCUUAUAUACUGUACAGUGUAUCAGUACUGUUACUUGAGUAAAACUUGGUUCCUCUUCCCACUGUGAGUAAGUAAGAGUACAAAUGACAAAACUUUGUGCUGACAAUAUGAAAUGAUUUGAACAUUUGUGUUUCUUGCACCGUUCAGCUUCAGAUAUGAUUUAGUUUUUUUUCACUUGGUGUAAAUCCUUUAAAAAAUACCAGAUUUUGUGGUUUAUUAAUGGUUUUUCCUUCAAAUUACAUUAACUCCAAAUUAUAAAACAAAUGUUACACCGAAACCGUUACACUUUAAGUUAUUUUUACUUGAGUAGUAGUUUCCCCAAAUAUUUUUUACUCUUACUUGAGUAAUUUCUUGGACCACUACUCUGAGCUUAUACUCUUGUGUAAUAUUAAGUACUGUUGCUCCUACUUCAGUAUAAUAUUGGCUCCUCCACCUCUGCUGAUGUGUAUUUGUACAGUUUUGUCCUUGGUUUAUUUUUCUACUGAAGUAAAAUGCUGUAAAACAUGUACAAUAUGCUGUAGCACUUAUUAUCAGUAGUAUUAUUCGGCUGGUCAAAUGUAAAAAAAAAAAAAAAAAAAAAAAAAAAAAAAGAAUGAAAAAGGGAAAAUGAAUAUUGCUAGGCUAGGUACUCCCUCAAUUGUGGGAGUACCUACUCAUGUCUACACAUCUUAACUUGUUGUACAUGAAAUCUAAAAUAAAAACACACAUGAAUGUACUUUGUAAAAAUAUUUUUGUAAUAAUAAUGCCAGUAUUAUUGUAUUAUUGUUGGAAAUUUAAAAAAAUAAUAAUAAUUGUGAAUA